UCACUGCACCCCGCCUAAAAGUGCCUUAAUUUUAAAAGAAAUACAGGUUUUAUUUGAUAUAUGUUUAGUAUAUUCUUAGGAUAUUUUUUUAACCAGUAAGAACCCCUAGCAACUAUCCCCCAAGAUAUAGAAUUUAUAACCCUAUGUGAUGACUGUAUGUUUUGAACCAAAACCAAGUAUGAUGAAUGGCUACCAGCUCAGAGGCCCUGGAGACACAAGGAAGCCUCACUGGUGAGAGGUGACUGCCUGUGGGCCGCACAGUUUCCUGGAAAGGCAGUGAGAGCAUCUGGUACCUCCAGACACUGCAGAAACAGUGUCACAGAAACAUCUCAGAGGAGUCACUUCUCUUUAUCAAGAUUUUAAAGUGAUUUCAACAUUAAAAAAAACAACAACAAUGUAAAGAAUUUGAGUGUGGAGUGAUGAUCAUGCUUCCAGGCCAGCAAACUGCCAGUGUGAAGGAUGCCCAGGUAACCUGCCCAUGCCAGAACGGCCAGGAGAUGGUGGAACCAGAAUCUAAGCCCAUGCCCGUCUGACUUCAAAGUCUGUGCUCCUGAUGUUUGCACUGAGUCACCUCCUAAGACUUGCUGAAACUGGAUCACAUCCAUUUACCUAUCUUUGAGAGAAAUGGAAGCUUUAAAAAAGGAAAUAUUUACUAUGGAUAUUUUACAAUAGUUCCAAAACAUGAAAGUUUUAAAUAAGAUAUUCUUAACCAUCCUCACCACAUCUUCAGGUUUCCUUACAGCUACUGUGUUUUGAUGAUUGCCCAUUAGAAAAAAAGACUAUGCUUUCUGUAGGUUUUAAAGGAAUGGUGGUGAAAUAGGGAGCAUUCCCUGAGCAGAUCCUGCCUGCGGCCACAGCUCUGAGCAUUGGACCAGGCGAGAAGAGCCCAUGUGUUGGCUGCUUUGGGAUCCCAGCACUGCCAAUGGCAGGUGUGCUAUGACCCAGGGAGAGAACCUAGCCUUUUGCAUUCUGUUGCCCCAUUUGAAAAUGGAGACGAUAGUGGUGCCCCGCUCAGUGUUAUUUUGAGGAUUCGAAUGUAUCUCAGACGUAGUACCUGAAAAAAUAUAAGUGCUCAGUAAAUACGGUUGCCAGAUAAAAUGCAGGAAACCUAUUUAAGUUUUGGCUGGACGAUGAAUAGAAUAAUUUUUCUUAGUAUGAGUAUGUCCUUAUAUUUUAUCUGCUAAAUUUAGCAACCUCCUCAGUAAAUGAUCACUACAAUUGCAAAAACUCCUUAUGACAGAUAUAGUAAAUUUGUGAAGAAAUAGGAACUUGCAUUUAUUUUUACUGAGCUCUGACUGGUUAAGAUAACUGGGCAAGAGAAGACAUCUUUGACUAAACUUGCAGCGUAUAGAGUACAGAGAUUCAAAUUUGAAGUCCUAUAGGACUAGAAUGGCCAGAGGUGAACUGUAGUGAGCUUAUCUAAAGAGUCCCAAUUUCAAAAGUUCCUCAGAGACUUAAAUGGGCCCACAGACCCCUCCUGUGUCUUUGCAUAAGUCAGCUCGUUAUAUCAGUUAUAAAUUGAUUUCCAGAGAAAAUGUACCCUGGAGGUCCCUCUCCCCCUUGAAAUAGGACUGGCCAAUCCAGAUGUCCCCCAGGUGAUGUUGGCUCAAAUAUAGCUCCAUAAAUUGGAGAAUCUGUUCAAGAAAACAAGCAAAAGUAUUCGUGACUGAGUUAGCUAAUGCCAGCUGGUAUCUUGAACAAACCCAGAUCUCUAACAUGCUAGUUUAUUUCGUAGUGUAAAAUGUGUGUUACUGAUGGGCAGACAGCUCUCAUUCAAGCAGUGACAGAUGCAAGCUCUUCCCAUUUUUGUGGCCCCAUUGUAUUCAGUGUGUGGCUUCCAAGGUGCCUGGGAUCAUCUCCACCGAGACUAAGGAAGAGGAAAGAGCUUAGACAACUGCACUUGGCUGGUUUUUAUGGAUCCGGCAAGGAAUUGGCUCCAACACAUUAGCUCACAUUCCAUUGGUUAGAACUGGGUUUCUCAACUAUUAGUACAGGGUGAGUGUAGGGUUUUGGCACCAUGGGCAUUUGAGCUGGCCAAAGGCUAAUCAGGGUUAGAACAAAGCCACAAAGCCUGUGAAUGGUGUUUAUUGUUGUGAGGGGCUGUCUUGUGCAUUGUGGAAUGUUCAGCAGGAUGCUCUCUGGCCUCAGAGACUCACUAGAUUCCCAUAGAACUCUCCUCUCUCCUCCAGUUGUGACAGCCACAGUUGCCUCCUCUCCAGAUAUUGCUAGAUGUCCCCGGGAGGCAAAAUUGUCCUGGUUGAGAACCACUGUGUUAGAACUCGGUCACAUGGCCACACCUAACUGCAAGGGAGGCUGGAAGAUCUAGACGAGUAGUAUGCCAAGAAGAAAAUAGAACUGAUAUAAGAGGCUGCUGGCCAGUUGCUUUCAGUGACUUUCAGCAUACUGAUUCCUCUGCAGCUGUCGGGACACUCAUGCCUGUUUCUGAGAUGUUUCCUGUGUGAGGGGACAUAGUGACAAUUGGAGGGGUGACAUGUUGGACUUGGGUAGGGUGAAGAGGAUUGGAAACCACCAUCAUGUUUGGCAGCGUUGAGUGUUUGUGACUAUUUGAAUAGUUGUGACAAGGGUACAGUAAAGGAGGAAAUAACCAUUUUUGAAUACCCUUUUACAAUUUGCAAAGCACUUUUAAAGGUAAGAGUGAGUUCCUAGACCAUAUUAGGGUGAGAAUGGACAUUGUUGGCUGCCAUAUCAUUGGACAGGGGCUUUGAGAUUUUUGUCUUCAAAAGGCAGAUUAGAUUUGGAGUAGAAGGAGAAAUGUAAAGACCUGGUAUCUGAGUGUGUUUGCAGAGGGGAAUUGUCAUUUGGAAGCACAAGAAAGGGGAUGGCCCAUUGGCACAUAUGGUACAUUGUGUUUUCAUAUAAUUAUACCUGAAUGAAA